CAGCCGCCGCGGGAAUACGAAGGGGGCUAGCGUUGCUCGGAAUGACUGGGCGUAAAGGGCGCGUAGGCGGCGAUCAAAGUCAGGCGUGAAAUUCCUGGGCUCAACCUGGGGGCUGCGCUUGAUACUUGGUUGCUUGAGUGGGGAAGAGGGUCGUGGAAUUCCCAGUGUAGAGGUGAAAUUCGUAGAUAUUGGGAAGAACACCGGUGGCGAAGGCGGCGACCUGGUCCUUGACUGACGCUGAGGCGCGAAAGCGUGGGGAGCAAACAGGAUUAGAUACCCCCGUAGUCCCUGUCUCUUAUAA
rnacentral:rRNA from 1 species